rnacentral:rRNA from 1 species
UGCGUAGGUGGCGUCGUAAGUCGGGUGUGAAAUUUCGGAGCUUAACUCCGAAACUGCAUUCGAUACUGCGGUGCUUGAGGACUGGAGAGGAGACUGGAAUUUACGGUGUAGCAGUGAAAUGCGUAGAGAUCGUAAGGAAGACCAGUGGCGAAGGCGGGUCUCUGGACAGUUCCUGACACUGAGGCACGAAGGCCAGGGGAGCAAACG